AAUGGGCUGGAAAUAACUAUUGGGAAAUGGUCACUGCCAUAUGUAGAAGAAAGGGUAUUCCAGGCUGCGACAAUUCCACUGUAUUAUGCAGUCCAUGAUUGGUGGGAAGGGUAAAAGUAUUAAGAAAAGAGGCAGCGUUGGACGGUGAAAUAUUAAAUUGAGAAAGGAGUUGUAAGAAAGCUGUAAUGAAAUCAUUUAUAGACAUGUUA